AACGAACGCUGGCGGCAUGCCUAACACAUGCAAGUCGAACGAGACCUUCGGGUCUAGUGGCGUACGGGUGCGUAACGCGUGGGAACCUGCCCUUAGGUUCGGAAUAACUCCCCGAAAGGGGUGCUAAUACCGGAUAAUGUCUUCGGCCCAAAGAUUUAUCGCCUUUGGAUGGGCCCGCGUUGGAUUAGCUAGUUGGUAGGGUAAAAGCCUACCAAGGCGACGAUCCAUAGCUGGUCUGAGAGGAUGAUCAGCCACACUGGGGCUGAGACACGGCCCAGACUCCUACGGGAGGCAGCAGUGGGGAAUAUUGGACAAUGGGCGAAAGCCUGAUCCAGCAAUGCCGCGUGAGUGAUGAAGGCCUUAGGGUUGUAAAGCUCUUUUACCCGGGAUGAUAAUGACAGUACCGGGAGAAUAAGCUCCGGCUAACUCCGUG
rnacentral:rRNA from 1 species